GAUGAACGCUGGCGGCGUGCCUAAUACAUGCAAGUCGAGCGAACAGACGAGGAGCUUGCUCCUCUGACGUUAGCGGCGGACGGGUGAGUAACACGUGGAUAACCUACCUAUAAGACUGGGAUAACUUCGGGAAACCGGAGCUAAUACCGGAUAAUAUAUUGAACCGCAUGGUUCAAUAGUGAAAGACGGUUUUGCUGUCACUUAUAGAUGGAUCCGCGCCGCAUUAGCUAGUUGGUAAGGUAACGGCUUACCAAGGCAACGAUGCGUAGCCGACCUGAGAGGGUGAUCAGCCACACUGGAACUGAGACACGGUCCAGACUCCUACGGGAGGCAGCAGUAGGGAAUCUUCCGCAAUGGGCGAAAGCCUGAAGGAGCAACGCCGCGUGAGUGAUGAAGGUCUUCGGAUCGUAAAACUCUGUUAUUAGGGAAGAACAAAUGUGUAAGUAACUAUGCACGUCUUGACGGUACCUAAUCAGAAAGCCACGGCUAACUACGUG
rnacentral:rRNA from 1 species